GAUGAACGCUGGCGGCGUGCUUAACACAUGCAAGUCGAACGGAAAGGCUCCUGCUUGCAGGGGUACUCGAGUGGCGAACGGGUGAGUAACACGUGGGUGAUCUGCCCUGCACUUCGGGAUAAGCCUGGGAAACUGGGUCUAAUACCGGAUAGGACGAUGGUUUGGAUGCCAUUGUGGAAAGUUUUUCGGUGUGGGAUGAGCUCGCGGCCUAUCAGCUUGUUGGUGGGGUAAUGGCCUACCAAGGCGUCGACGGGUAGCCGGCCUGAGAGGGUGUACAGCCACAUUGGGACUGAGAUACGGCCCAGACUCCUACGGGAGGCAGCAGUGGGGAAUAUUGCACAAUGGGCGCAAGCCUGAUGCAGCGACGCCGCGUGGGGGAUGACGGCCUUCGGGUUGUAAACUCCUUUCGCUAGGGACGAAGCGUUUUGUGACGGUACCUGGAGAAGAAGCACCGGCUAACUACGUG
rnacentral:rRNA from 1 species